UGGUAGUCCACGCCCUNAACGAUGUCGAUUAGCUGUUGGGCAACUUGAUUGCUUAGUAGCGUAGCUAACGCGUGAAAUCGACCGCCUGGGGAGUACGGUCGCAAGAUUAAAACUCAAAGGAAUUGACGGGGACCCGCACAAGCGGUGGAUGAUGUGGAUUAAUUCGAUGCAACGCGAAGAACCUUACCUGGUCUUGACAUGUACGGAAGAACUCAGAGGCGAGUUUGUGCCUUCGGGAGCCGUAACACAGGUGCUGCAUGGCUGCCGUCAGCUCGUGUCGUGAGAUGUUGGGUUAAGUCCCGCAACGAGCGCAACCCUUGUCAUUAGUUGCCAUCAUUUAGUUGGGCACUCUAAUGAGACUGCCGGUGACAAACCGGAGGAAGGUGGGGAUGACGUCAAGUCCUCAUGGCCCUUAUGACCAGGGCUUCACACGUCAUACAAUGGUCGGUACAGAGGGUAGCCAAGCCGCGAGGUGGAGCCAAUCCCAGAAAACCGAUCGUAGUCCGGAUUGCACUCUGCAACUCGAGUGC
rnacentral:rRNA from 1 species